GAGUUUGAUCAUGGCUCAGAACGAACGCUGGCGGCAUGCCUAACACAUGCAAGUCGAACGCGUGUAGCAAUACACGAGUGGCGCACGGGUGAGUAACGCGUGGGAACCUGCCCAGUGGUAGGGAAUAACUGCGGGAAACUGCAGCUAAUACCCUAUACGCCCUACGGGGGAAAGUUUUCGUCCAUUGGAGGGGCCCGCGUCGGAUUAGCUAGUUGGUGAGGUAAGAGCUUACCAAGGCGACGAUCCGUAGCUGGUCUGAGAGGAUGAUCAGCCACACUGGGACUGAGACACGGCCCAGACUCCUACGGGAGGCAGCAGUGGGGAAUAUUGGACAAUGGGGGCGAACCCUGAUCCAGCAAUGCCGCGUGAGUGAUGAAGGCCUUAGGGUUGUAAAGCUCUUUCGGCGGGGACGAUGAUGACGGUACCCGCAGAAGAAGCCCCGGCUAACUUCGUGCCAGCCGCCGCCGUAAU
rnacentral:rRNA from 1 species